UCUAUUCCUUCUCUUAUGUGUUCCCUUUCUAUUCUCUGAUCAGAUGCAAGAGGCUGAGGUUCAGUUCUUGAGGGAACAGAAUGAACUACAAAUAAAGAGAGCUAAAGAUCUCAGCAACAUUGAAGUGUCUAAGUUCAGUACAUUGAUUAGUUCUAUGGGUAAGCAGACUAUAUCCCGUAUUGCUAAAGCUGGACCAGAAUCAAAGACUUUGCUCAUUUAGAGGCUGGACUCAUACCACCGCCUUUCAUACCCAAUUCCAGAGCAGUCUAUGCUAAAGAUGUGUUAGAUAUUGACCAGUUCUCCUCAGUCAGAGGAGUAGAGAUUGAGAAAGCUGACGAAGACUUUGCUGA